GUAUUUGUGUGUGUGUGCGUGUAUGUGUAUAUAUAUGUACAUACACACACACACACACACACACACACACACACACACACACACA
rnacentral:miRNA from 1 species